rnacentral:lncRNA from 1 species
CCCACCUUGGCCUCCCAAAGUGCUGGGAUUACAGGCGUGAGGCGUGAGCCACCACACCCGGCCAUGCCCAGUCCUUCUGACCCUCGUGGCUUCUCCUGCUCCAAGGCCAAGCUCGGGACCCUGUCAUCAUCCCCGGGGACAGGCCCCAUCUUAGAGAGGAUCCACCCAGCUCCCCGCUCCUGAGCCAUCUUCCAGCUAUCCCGCCUCGAGACUCCCACCGCACCUGCUCCUGGGCUGCAGCUGCACCCAACAAGUCAACAUGUGGAUUGCUUCUAGAAUUUGGAUAUUAUGAACACUGCUGUGCUGAACAUUCUUGUACACUUAUAUGGUUUGGCUGUGUCCCCACCCAAAUCUCAUCUUGAAUUGUAGCUCCCAUAAUUCCUAUGUGUCGUGGGAGGGACCCAAUGGGAGGUAAUUGAAUCAUAGGGGCAGGUCUUUCCCCUGCUGUCCUUAUGAUAGUGAAUAAGUCUCAUGAGAUCUGAUGGUUUUAUACAUGGGAGUUCCCCUGCACAAGCCCUCUUGUCUGCCGCCAUGUAAGAUGUGCCUUUGCUUCUCCUCUGCCUUCCACCAUGAUUGUGAGGACUCCCCAACCAUGUGGAACUGUGAGUCCAUUAAACCUCUUUCCUUUGUAAAUUA